GCGGCUAUAGUCCAGUGGCAGGAUAUGAGCUUCCCAUGAGCCUUUUCUUUCUUUUAAAAAAGAAAGAAAACCCUCGGAAAAAGAAAGAAACGCGAAACAGCUUAAGACCGGGGUUCAAAUCCCCGUAGCCGCA
rnacentral:tRNA from 1 species